rnacentral:rRNA from 1 species
UACGAAGGGUGCAAACGUUGCUCGGAAUUAUUGGGCGUAAAGCGCACGUAGGCGGCUUAGCAAGUCGGAUGUGAAAUCCCUCGGCUCAACCAAGGAAGUGCAUCCGAAACUGCUGAGCUUGAGUACGAAAGAGGAUCGCGGAAUUCCCGGUGUAGAGGUGAAAUUCGUAGAUAUCAGGAGGAACACCGGUGGCGAAGGCGGGUCUCUGGGCAGUAACUGACGCUGAGGAGCGAAAGCGUGGGGAGCGAACAGG